rnacentral:rRNA from 1 species
UACGUAGGGGGCUAGCGUUGUCCGGAAUCAUUGGGCGUAAAGCGCGUGUAGGCGGUCCGGUAAGUCCGCUGUGAAAGUCGAGGGCUCAACCCUCGAAUGCCGGUGGAUACUGUCGGGCUUGAGUACGGGAGAGGCGAGUGGAAUUCCUGGUGUAGCGGUGAAAUGCGCAGAUAUCAGGAGGAACACCUAUUGCGAAGGCAGCUCGCUGGGACGUAACUGACGCUGAGACGCGAAAGCGUGGGGAGCAAACAGG